GGAAAUAACGAGGAAGGUCUACAAGUAAGGAGUCUAAUACACGACACCGUUCGAAUCGCAACCACAUCGAAUGAAUAGUUGUUGAAAAAAAGAAACUAUUACUAUCGCUCCUAGACUUGUAGUCAUCUUCAAGAUGCCGAAUUUGAAAAGUUCAUCGUCUCUAUUGCUCGUUAAGCCAAACAUAUAAGAUUAAGUAUGCAUAACUACCUAACUAUUCGAGGAGAAGAAAAAAUUAUUCGAGGUGAUUUUUUUCCUUAAAUUCAUAUUAAUGAUACAAAUUCCUCAAAUCUAAUCUCACUUGUAAUGCAUGUAACAUCACACAUCAGUCAAAGAUUUUGUUCUUGUAAUAAAACAAAGAUCAUCCUAAAUUGAAAGUCAUAAUCCAAAACGCAAAAAAGAAAAAUCAUAAAAAUUCGUGUUUCCAUCUCACGUAAGAGGUUUACGGAUGACCAGACGCAUCAUAUCUAAUCAAAGUUCAAAAAUAUUACACGAUGAUACUGAUAUUAUGUAAGAUAAUCUAAUCAAAAACACAAUCAAAUAAACACUCUAAUGGAUUCUUUUUGGCUAGUUAUUAAAUAUCCGAGUACUACAAUCUAAAUCUGCAUGUUUUCGUAUGGAAUAUAAACUACCAAAUUUACAAGGUGGCUUGUUUGAUAAUAUGCUUGAUCCGCCACUUUUUGAGGAGUCAAUUUACCUUUAAUUCCUUCAAAUUCGAUCUGACAAAUCAACAAAUACUUUGAUUUGAUGUUUCAUGAUUAAAGUAUGUAAUAUCAAAUAAUAUAUGCAAAGUAAAAUCUAACUAAUAUUCACAAACUCAAUUUGAAAAAAAAAUGCAAAAUAUAAUAUCAAUGGCGUCUUUUUUUUUACUGUAUGUUAUUAUAUAAUGGCGUCUUUAAAUAUCUAUAACUUAAGCAUAUUAACAUAAACUUGAUUAACAAAAAUUAUUUUAUUCUGAAUAAAUAUAAAACUGGCACCCGUAAUCUUGUAUCCCAUCAACAAUACGUUUUAUACAAAAUCUAAUUCAAAUCAUUUGAGAGUACCCUAUAUAAUAACAUACAGUAAAUGUUUUAUAAGUGUUAAAAUUAUGAUAUUUUAUUAAUAUAAUAAUUUAAAAUAGAUUUAUAUAUUUAUAAUAAUUUUUAUAUUUAAUAUAAAAGUAUUUUAAUAUUAUAUAUUUAUUAAAUUUGAUAGAUGUAUUUUAAUCUCUUUCUUAUUAUUUUUUAUUUUUAUGUAUAAAACAAUUUAUAAUAUAAAUGUGUUUUCAAUGUACUUUUACAAAAUAACCCUAAACUAUUAAAAUAAAAAUAAAACAAACAUUAUUUUAAAUUUUUAUAAAAAUUUAUGUAAGCUUUGAAGGUGGUAUUUUUGGUUACCAGCAUAAAAAGACUAGGUUAAGACUUUGCUAACUAAAUAUAGGACUGAAUGUCGAUGAAAACGAAGUAGGUUGGUUGACAUCUAACUCCACGUGCAAGACUGUAUGACUUUGUGUUUUGAGUCUUGGAUACAUGUGAGAUCGCGAAAGUUCCUACAUUCGUUGAAACUUUCUCUGAUUCGUUGAAUGGUUGGGUUCCACUCUACCCUAAUGAGAUUUGGCUUCCUUCACAAUGUUAAUUCUGUUUCCGCAAGUUAUCAUGUAUCUUGGAUCUCUAUCAAUUCUAUUUAAAAGCUUGUCGUUUUGCUCUUUCCAGAUGUACUAAAGAAUCCAGGCAAAUUAUGCAUCUUUAAGUGCGACGUAAUCCUCCAAAAUUAAUAAUCCAUGUUCAUGAAAACUGAACGCAAAAAGAAGCUACAUGGGUGUGUGGGUAUCCUUGAUAACAUCUAGAUCUGAACAACGGAUGCACAUUCAAAGAAAACAUGAUUUAUUGAUUCUUCUUUUGCUCUAUAUCUUUGACAAUGAAAUCACAUUCUAUUCCUCUUGAUUGAAGAUUCUUCCUGACUGGUAAACAACCUGAAUAAUUUGCCAAAAAAAUAUCCUACCCUUGGGGAACAUUUUAUUUUCCAUGUGUGUACCCGAAGGGUCUAUCAGGCCUGAAAACUAGUGUCUGUCUGGAUAGUAAGGACGGCCUAGAGAUUUCAGAGACUAUAGGCGAUUUAAUUAAGAUUUCAAUUAAAAAUUUAAACUUUAAAGGUUUUUCUAUAAAUUUGGGGGCAUAUGUCUAUGUAAUAUUUUUCAAAAUAGUUAGGGACUAGGUGAAUUUUCAUCCGAUUUUGCCUAAGACCAGCCUUGCUAGAUAGAGAUAUUCUAAUUAAUAUUCAGUUUUAAUCGUAUAUUUUCUGACUGUGUAAAAUAACAUACGUUUCUGUCUAACGUAGAAGAUUGACUUAACGGGAUACUUUCAAUAAGGGUUGUUGCUUCUGGUUCCAUCAGUGUCCUUAAAAUAUGAGAAUUUCACUUACGAAAUAUAGGGUUGAUGAGGAAUAUAUAUGGUAAUUGUUAAUUAUAAUUUUAUUGAAAUCAUAUAUUUACCUAAUUUCUUCUAAGAGUGUUAUUUUUAUAUUAUCAAAUUAUAUUAUAUUUUAAUUUGAAAAUUAAUUUAUCUCAAUUUUUAAUUUAUUGAAUAUUAUUUUAUUGAGUUUAUAUUGUAUGUUACUUAACUACACUUUUAGCUUUAUAGACCAUACUGUUUAAGUCAUAGUGCACCGUGCACCCAAACAGAAUUUCAGAACCAUAAGCCAUCGUAUGUUUAUACACUAUAAAAAUUUAUUAGAUUAAUUACUAGUUGUUGCAAGGUAGUAUAUAUAGUCCACAAGAAUGUCUCACUCUCUCGUCUCUCCCUAUCUUCUCGAAAACGUUGACCCAAGUGCGAACAAAGACUCCGGUCGUGGCUGCUCCUUACUUUUCUCUUGGGCGACUCUAGACUCAUGUGUGUUUUAUAUUUUUUUGUUUCUCUCAAUAAUUGUCUAAAUUUUUGGUACUCACAUAAUCAUGAAUAAUUGUCUAACUUUUGGUACUCACAUAAUCAUGAUAUAAUUUUUUAAUUAUUAGUUUAAUUUCAUUCUACCUCAAUUUAAUGUCCGACAAAACAUUUAGAUUUCAAAGUUUGAUCUUUUCCGUCUAUAUUAACAAACUAUAUAUUUUAUGGUUUGAGAAUUAUGUCUUAAAUUUAUAAAAUAAUGUAUUUAAACAUUUUCAUUACAAAUAUCAAUUUCAUAAUAAGUAUUAGUAUAAUUUUAAUUUUUAGUAAUUUAUGAUCCUUUUUAUCACACUUACACAUGUCUUCUAGCAAUAUAUCUUAUUAAAACAAAUUUGACAAAAUUUGAUCAGGCACAUUAAAAAUUUAAUCAAAAACAAAUUUGUAUAUAAAAUAAUAUAAAUAAGAAGUCAUUAUAUAGCUACAUGUAUUUAUAUAUUGGAAUCGACGAUAUCUAUACAAUUCAAAAUAUAUAAAUACAAUGGUCACACCAAAUACAAAGAAAUAAAUACCUAUUUUUGACAAAAAAGAUACUCACAUAUUUUUUUUGUACCCAAUGAUUUUUUUUGCAUUACACAUUCUUUCCUUACACAGUUAUUUGAGAAAAAAAAAUGUGUUUAAUGGUAGACUUUACAUUUAUAUUUAUGUUAGUAAAAAAUAGCCAAGGCCCACAUUAUGUUUUAUUUGCAACCGUAAGCGAAUUUUGGGUAAGUAAACAAUUUAGGUUUAGAAAGAAAAAAAUUAAUGGUUUAAAAAAAAUUAAGAGUUAAACUCAGUCUUCUAUUAGAACUUCCAUGAUAAUUAAAAAUCUCUAAGAAACAAGCCGGAAAUUUUAUGGUUUGCACAAUUAAACAUUUGUUCAUAAUCAGAAUGCUAAUUAAUGGAGGUAACAGCAUUUAAACAAAGUAUUGAUAUUAGAUUCUUUUUGUAUCAUUCUAAUUUUAUUUUGUUAAGAAGUGUUAAACAAACUAUUGUUUCACCACGCUAAAACUAAAAGUAAAAGCUAGGUUUCGAUUGGUAAUAAUGGUUAAUCACAGAAUCGCGGAAAAAGAUAAUUCAGCCGCAGAAAAUUAAUUAAGCUUCUGAAAAUUUUGAAAUCUGCUGAAAAAGUUGGGAAUAGUUUUCUAAACAAUUGGAUAAACUUUACGAAAUUACGGAAUAUAGAUUAUUUAAAAAAGAACUAAUACAUUAUUUAAUCUAUUGAAAAUUAAUAGCUAUAAAUAACUAAAUAUAAUUUUAUGAUAAAAAUACCAAUUAAAUCUAACCAAAACAUUUAUUUUAUCUUAACUAUUCAUCUUAUUCCAAAUACAUUCCUUAUAUACUAAAGAAUAAGUCACCUCACCACUAAAUUUCUGACACAUGGCAUUGCUUAACAAAAGUUUGUCGAUUAAAUUCUUUUAUUUCAUUCCCUAUUUUUUCUGCAACUCUAACUACUUAAAUUCCAAUUAUUUCGGAAUUUUCAUCCCAGGUUUCAAUUUUCUUCUUCAUUAUCAAACUGUUUUUUCUCUGUAUAAAUAGCAAUCGACUGAUGUCAAAAAAUAAAUAUAUCAAUCGACUAAGUUAUUCUCAAACUCCACCAGAUUGCUCUUCCUUUUUCUUCAUGUUCUCAUAGGUUCACAUAUGGUGGCUCUGCAACUUUUUAAACGAUCAAAAUAGACAAGAAUUUCUCAAUCUUUUUAUUGAUAUCCCUUUUUGUCUAUAUUCUCAUGGUUUUUAUGCUUAUCAUUUCUGAAAUAAUCUUUUUAGAAAUGAUUUAAUUACCACUGUACUUUUCCAUUGCUUCUAACAUCUUUUUGUGACAGUUAUUACAUUCUCACGAUGAUUUUUGAAAUCCUUUAAUUAACAGGGACGCCAGUUUCUCACCAUUUAUCAGUAAAUGAAGGAUUUCAAGAAUCAUCGACAAAAUUUGGAGCUAGAGAACAUUGCUAUAACCAAUAAGAAAAUGUAAAGAAAGAAUUCAGUAAGCAUCUUGAAUACUAUUGAGCAAUUUACGUCAGAAACAUGAGGUAACAAUAAGCACUUUUAUUCUAUUAUAAACAUAUUGUCGAUUUUUACUAAUCCAUUCGAUUUUUCUCUAUAUUCAUAGGAAAUUAUAUAUGAGUGAUGAUUUUGAUAACGUUUGGGAAAAAGAGGCAAAUAAAAAAUUUCAAAACUUUUUGAUUGGAUGAAAAUUAACAGCCACAACAAAAAAUGGUAAUGAGAAAAAUAUAGAGUACUUGGAAAUACUAGAAGUAAAAAUAUCUGAUUUUAACCCCUAUAAAUUAUUGCAAUUAAUAAUUUAAUUUAAAGAAGAUAAAGUAUAUUCACGUUACAGAGGGUGAAUGUUACAGAAAGUUAACAUUUUAUAUAAAUUGCUCUAUUUAAUUAUAAAAGAGACCACACAUUUUUUAAAUUUAAAAUACAAUAAAUUUGAUCCGUGCUUUAGCACGGGAGUAACACUAGUUAAUAAUAAUACAUUAACAUAUAUUUUAAAAUGAAGUUAUAUAUUAGUAUUGUGUAUUCCAUAAUUAUUCAUAAUUUAUAAUAUUUAGUUAAUAUUUUAAAAUAUUAUUUUCAUAUAAUUAAACAAUAUGAAAAAGUUGAUUCCACAAAAAAUUUACUAAAACCUCACCUUUUCAACUAAUGGAAUUUAUUUUGUAUUAUUGUCAGCGAAACACAAAAUCCGCGUCUUUGUGUUUUAUGUUGUAUUUCAAAAAAAAAAAUUGAUUGAUAAAUUCUUGUGGAAUUGCGGUUUUUAAUGUCAUUCCGCAUAUUACCAAUAAAGGCCAUAGUGUUUCAUACACGCCUUUUACCUUUCUUGGAUUUAAAUAAGAACAAAUUAGCUCAAUAUACUAAAAAAGUAGGAUACCAUAGAAUAGGAGGGAAAAUGGUAAUGAUGGGACGAAGAAAAUUGGAGGGAAAUAAGGUAUGGAGUGCAAAUGUGUCUGCUGGCAAAUGUCUACUAUAAAUUGAUCAUCACAUCCGUGUGGGUGUUUCAACACAUUUCACGGAGAUUAAAAAAAAUUGUAUACAUCCUCUGUAUACAAAUAUAUGAUAUUCUACCUUUUUAUCUUGUAUACAAAUGUAUGAUAUUUUAUGAUAUAAUUAAUUUAUUUAUCUUUAAAAAGAAACAUAAAUUAAAAACGAAAUUAUGAAUAGUGAAACUUUAUUGAUAAAAUCAAAAAGUAAUAACCAAAAGAGUAUAUCUAUUGUUUUUUAAUAUGUGUGGAAAACCAUAAACAUCAUAUAUUUGUAUUCAGUGGGAGUAACAAACUAUAAUGUAUUUAUUUAAUGUAUGCUUAAUUAAAUUAAAAUGGUUUAAAUAAAAAUAUAUUGGCUAUUCAAAACGGUAAAAGAUAAAUUUAAUGUAUAAUGUUGCAUGAAAAUGUAGAAUGACACCUUUUGUAAAACAUACAAAUAACAUAAAAUGACACACUUUGUGAAACAUAGAGAGUAUUUGUUUUCAACAAUUAGUGUUAUAUAUUUUAUAUGUGUCACCAUAAAAUUAAUUGUAUAUUGGUUAUUUGAAUAUUUUAGACGCCUAUACAUUAUAAUCACCCGAAUCGAAUAAGAUAAUAUGAUUGCGUUGGUUAUUUUGUUAUUCAAGUUAUUUUUAGUUUGGAUACAAAAUACUCAAACUGAAUCAGACAAUAUAGUUACUUUUUGUACAAAUAUCCUAACUCAUUUUAGACACAUAGGUUAUUUUUGAUAUUUUUAGGUUUCUACACAUCAGAACUGAAUUUACCUAAACAUAGGAUGACCCAACUAGAAACCCACCAGAAAAUUUAUAAUAUCGUAACGGAGCCUAAUUUCAAAACUCAAAAACCUAAUAUCCGAAAAGACAACACUUACCCAAUCGUAUAAGAGAAUAUCCAUAUCUAACUAAUUUUAUAAAGAUUUUUUUUUUUAAAUAAAUCUUUCUUAACCAUUUUGAAUUAUUGUCACAAAUAGAAUAAUUUAUUCAAAUAUGUCAAAUUUUCAUAGUUAACAUGUAAAAUAAAAUUAUGGUAAAAAUAAUUAAUGAAAUUUCUCUAAAAGAUAAAUUAUGUUUUGUAUUUCUGUAAUAAAUGAUGUUGGGUUAUUUAGAAAAUAAAAUAAAUGAACUAAUUAUAACUAGUGAAAAAGAAUGAAAAUAUGUAAAAUCCUACUUAAAAAUAUGCAAGAAAUAAUUAUUUAGUAAAAAAAAUUAUACUUUUUACUACGUUAUCUUCUUUAACAAAAAAAAAGAAGAAGAAGAAGGAAACAACCAUCAAUACUCAAACAUGCAUUUUCUAUCAUAUUUGAAUAUGGAUAGUGAUAUGCAGCAUUAUUACAAAAUACUGAAGAAUAAAUCUCGAUCUUGCAAUAAUAAACACCUUUUAUCGUAAAAAAUGAAGUAUGCAUUAUUCGACACAAGUCAGGCGGCCUAAUUGAUUUAUUGGGGUAACAAAAAAUGAUAUCUUCUUAUUUUAUUUAUAGAAUCUUGUUACUCCCAAAAAAAUUCCACAAAUUAAAUUAACAAAUAUUCUAUAAAUAACAAGAAGUUUACAUCAACAGCGCACCAGCUUUUUUUAAAAAAUGUACCACCAUGGCCAUGUUUUUGCAAAGUGUUUUUAAACCUUGACAUUGGGGCGGAUGGCGGCUUUGGACCCAUGCAUCUUUCGCAAAAAAAAAAAAAUUAUAUUCACAAACUUUUUAAACAUUAAGGUUUAAUCUCUACAUAAUCUUUAUACAUUCUUUCGAAAUAAUAGCUCUUUUAAUCAUUAAUCUUGCAUAUUAUUAUUAUUGGAUCUGAGAGCAAUUAUAAGAGUGCAGAUCGAUGUACUAAAAUUUUUUUUAGAAUUAAAUUUAGGGGUUUUGAUACCAUGUUAAAUGUUAUAACUUUCCAAAUUAAAAUUAAUUGACAGUAAAUGGACAAUAUUCCAAAUCUAUUACAUAUUGUUUAUGUCUAAGUAAAAUUCUCAAUGUGAUAAUUUAUAUUUACAUUUUCGGGUUAUGUGAAAGGCCCUAACCCAGUUUUCCUUACCGCCAGUACGACCCCAGUUCGCUUCCCUCGACCAAAUAAGGUCGAGGCCUGAUUUCUCCCAACACUUAGGAUUUUUAUCUAAUUUUCCUCUAUGAGGUUCAGUUCAGUUCACAGUGUUCGCUAAAUCUAUCCGGCAUCCUAGCAAUUCACUAAGACUGACAGUAUUAUAAACAUGUACCUUACUUCCUUGGUUGUCUACUUGACCAUCCAUACACUCCUGCCUUGCUAUCUUCAUGCUUCCCAUCCUUCUUAUCCAGUCAGCUCGAUCAGAUAUUUAACCGAAUCCCCUUGUUCCUUAGUCACUCAGCCAACCAUCCCCACGUGACAAGUAAACAGAAGAAACAGCUUGGUCUCCGACCAGCCAUCCAGUACAGAUAGUACGACAGUCUUGCUAGUGUUCCAGAACCAGUCACUGAUCAAGCCUAGAUCAGUCCGUCCAAACUCGGCCUUACCGGCCUUUAUCUAGUCAGUAACCAUACGCAUCAGCAAACUCGUGCCCCAUGCCAGACGAUCCUCAUCAGUACGUUACCACAUCGUUCCUCCAGUCCUUUGUUCCACUUCACUCGCUCCUGUACGUCCGCGACUAGAUCGCUACAUAUCCCAUUCUACCCAGUCCGUACUAGAACUGGUAUGGUUUACGCCCAGACUUGGUCCCACUGUCCCGUGAUCAAACUCAGACCCGCAUAUCUCGAUCAAAAUCCAUUCAUCGCUCAGUAUCCAGACGGUCUGCCGAUUGAACACGAACCACCAGUACACGGCGCCGAUCUGCACAGACUAAGCCGACAGACUCUAUUCUGUGGCUUACGCACGGUCCCACGGUCAGUAUCCGCCGUAUACCUCAGUAACCCGACCCGUUCCAUCAUUCAGUACACGGCUUGCCUUCAACGACUCAGACUACGCCGCACGCACCAUCGCUCUAUAGCCGGACAGUCAGAUUAGGACCCGAUCAGCCCUUCUCCGUGCACUUCAUCCCUCUCGGUGCUUCUCUCUAUUUUUCUCUGUAUAUUCUCUCUCGGAACCGUGUCCAGAAAAGAUGUGCCCUUUCUGAUUCCCGAAAAUCAGAUUAAAUCAGUGGUUGGACGGUUUCCACUCCAAAACCGUCAGUCCACAACCGCUCCCGCGCCCCUUCAGUCCGUAACCGUCCUAGACGGUUUUCUCCCUCGGCCAACUGCCUUGUCGGUUUCUCCAUAACUCCCUGCAGUUCCAACUGCUCUAUAACAGCCUUAGCGGUUUAUGUCUCAACCGUCCCAGUCGGUUAGGCGUAUAGGAACUGCUCCUCUAACCGGCCUGGUAAACUGUUCCGAAACUGCUUAGUAACCGUUCCGGUAACCGCCUUGUAACCGCUUCGCUAACUGCUUACUAACCGCUCCAGUAACCACUCAGUAACCGCCUCGGAUAACCGUUCCCAUCAGUUUCCUUAGCUUUCCAGUACACGUUCAGUUCAGUACAUGUUCCCCAACAGAACGUAUAUCCAGUCAGUCCUUACAUAGACUAACUGAUCUCGGAAGACAAGUCCAGCUGCCUUGUCUGAAUCCGUCCAUCUUAGUCCGACAAGCUCAACUGCUAUGUUCGGACAGACAUUAUCGUCUUAACCUGACUAGUACUAUCCCGAUGACAUGUCCAACAUGUCUGUCCCGUCUGAUCAGUCCGACCUUGGACUGAUCCAGUUCAGACUGCAAAACGGGGAUGCUACAAGUCUCCCCCACUUGGAAUGAAUUCGUCCUCGAAUUCAGCAGUUAAUAGAACUUUGUUCUACCCAAUCAGAUCAGUCUCCCCCACUUGGAAUGAAUCCCAACAGAUGACACUCAUGCCUUAACUGUAUUCUCAAACUUUCGGUCACUCGACCAUUACUGUGUUCCAGACUUCCUGAUCACAAUCACAUUUUGAUUUGAUCUCAGAUAUAUAUUAUUCGAUCCGGUCUCUUUGCCAUUUUUUUUUAUUAACAGACUAUGUUCAGUGUACCAACUCACUAAGCAUAGUAGUUCUAACUUCCGAGAAAUCUCUGGGUGUUUGGGCACACACUUUGGUGAGAACAUAACUCCCAACAGUGUUGACUAGUUUACCUCAAUUCUCGAAGUUUAAACUCACUACCUUAGCUAAGUUUUCCAGUGUUUUCUUUAACCAGUCACAGUCAUUCACUAACCUAACCUUAGUCCUUCUAGGACUCAGUCCAAACGAGUCUCUGUCCAUCCUGACUUGACUGUUUGAUUUUCGCACUCCAGUGUUCCUUAGCAUGGCCUAACUCCGAAUACUAGGAACUUAAUCUUUUCAGAAUGCAUGAAUCUUAUCUUGGUCCUAACAGUGGUUUCCUCGGAUCACUCCCUGAUUCUAACCAGUCCCUGACCACUUAUGAUCGACAACUGUUCUUUUCAAAUCUUUACUGAUUUUUAUUGACACCUCCGGAUCAUUUUUGAUCCUUACAGACAUUUCUUACCGGACCCUACACUUGAUCCUUUGCACAGUUUUUCCUUUCGGACUCUCAGUCCUUCCCGGUUCACAUUUCGAAAAUGUAAACUCAUCUAGUUCCCAUUGACUCAGUCACAGUUAUGUCUUAGAAAACUCAACAGUUCUCAAUAACAUCAGUUCAUUAUACUAAACAGACAGACGUCCUACAGACAUGUGAUGGCAAUCUCUCACUAGUUCCCAUCCAUGCUUUCAUCGCGAUCGAAAACCCACAGUAGUGAACUCCUUGAGUUCCAGUGACAGUACAGUUAUGUCUUGGAAGGUACAUCUCCCACAGACAUCAGAUUGGGUUUCCGCAGACUAUAAUACAGACACGCGAUGGCGAGCUAAUAUGGUUCCCACCGAUGCGAUAACAGUUACGUCUUGGUAACCCUUUGGUUCUCACAGACGUCAAGACAGAACACACGAUGACAGACAGUCACGCCUUGGAAACUCUCGGUUUCCAUAGACACCAGAACCGACAGUAUCAGUACAGUUAUGCCUUAGCAAACCCACUCGGUUCCUAAGGACAUAUCAUCAACACUAACACUAAUGUUUCAGCAUUCCCACUUGUCUAGUUAAACAGAAACUUAGUCUGGUCUGGCAUUAUCAUUCCAAGUCAUCGAGCAGCCGUCCAGCAAUCCAGCUAAGUCUAAAUGAGCAUCUCAGCCAUAAGAACCUAGACUGAUCUAGACUCUCGCAUGAAAGGAAUCAAUAAUCUAAACUCAGAUGAUCGUCCUAAAUCUUCGAGCCAUCAUCAAAAAUCCAGCAAGCCUUAGCAAGCAUCACAGCCCCUAAGUACAUUGCCUGAUGUAGACGCUCCUGGUAAGAACCGAUCAUUUACUACUUUUUGAAACUCUGACCACAACUCAUCAUCUAUAGCAUCUUGUACCUCCGAGUAGUUUCUUGAUCACUUAACAAGUCUUUGGCGAGUACACCUGACUUCCAAUCUCUUGUUCCGAUGAUCUCAACUCUCGGACCGCACAAUCCUACUAGGAAAAUCAAGCUUAGUCAACCUUAACAAUUCCCUUGUCCAGUUCUUAUAUCCAUACUUGCGUACACUCACCACUUUCUAAGUGUAAGUCUUACUCAGAUUUUCCAAAAAUCUUUUUAUGAAACUUCCAGUUUGAUUUUCCCAUACCAGCUUGUCCUUUACCUUGAAAAUCUUAGGAUCCGUCUAAGCAUUCUCAACAUAUGUUCCAUUCGAAUAUAAGUCUCCGUACCUCACAUUCCAGCAUCAGUGCCUUAGCCAUUUGUCCUUAGGCUCUUCCAUGGACGAAUUGUCCAAUUCAGUUUUCCGAUUCUCUGACUCUUUCAGGUUAUCUCUUAGCAAUCCAUCUAUCGCUUAGCCAGUUCAUUGAGAUUCCAUCUCAAUCCUCGGACCACCCGUCCAACUUUGUUUCCGUUCACAACCUUCAGCUCAUCCACUUGGCUAUUCUGCCUUGAACCUUUCCGCUGAAGUCUUCUUUCCAGAUUCAGUUAUGGACAUCAUGUCCAUACUGAGUUAAACUCAUUAACUCCUUGUCUUCCUCGAGCCACUUGAUUCAAUCCUAACUCCAGUCAGCUUCAGAAUACACAUCGUCAAUCUUUCCCAUUUCUUCACUUCAGAAUUCGGAUCCAUUGACUUAAAUAAACCUCUCGGUUGUUUCCAAUACUUAGAAAAAAUUUAUUGGAUAACUCCCUUGAGUUAUCCAGAACACCUUAAGCAAUCGAAUCAGUCUCCAAAAGAUCUUAACUCAGACUUCAUUCCAGCAAUAUGAUCAUUCACCAAUGAUCUUAGCUCCAGCUUCUUUCCAGUUAGACUUCUAACUUACAUUUGCCCAUACAAAGUGUAAGUCCGACUUGAUCACUCCCAAGAUCAAGUCUCUCAUCAGUUCUCCAAUACUCGCCCUUAGCAUUUUCCGCGUCUGUUCGGUCUAGACAAAUCUUGUAUCAUCCUUCAAAAUCUGUCCUAGAACCGUAAUCGCUCUGAUACCACUUGAAAGGCCCUGACCCAGUUUUCCUUACCGCCAGUACGACCCCAGUUCGCUUCCCUCGACCAAAUAAGGUCGAGGCCCGAUUUCUCCCAACACUUAGGAUUUUUAUCUAAUUUUCCUCUAUGAGGUUCAGUUCAGUUCACAGUGUUCGCUAAAUCUAUCCGGCAUCCUAGCAAUUCACUAAGACUGACAGUAUUAUAAACAUGUACCUUACUUCCUUGGUUGUCUACUUGACCAUCCAUACACUCCUGCCUUGCUAUCUUCAUGCUUCCCAUCCUUCUUAUCCAGCCAGCUCGAUCAGAUAUUUAACCGAAUCCUCUUGUUCCUUAGUCACUCAGCCAACCAUCCCCACGUGACAAGUAAACAGACGAAACGGCUUGGUCUCCGACCAGCCAUCCAGUACAGAUAGUACGCCAGUCUUGCUAGUGUUCCAGAACCAGUCACUGAUCAAGCCUAGAUCAGUCCGUCCAAACUCAGCCUUACCGGCCUUUAUCUAGUCAGUAACCAUACGCAUCAGCAAACUCGUGCCCCAUGCCAGACGAUCCUCAUCAGUACGUUACCACAUCGUUCCUCCAGUCCUUUGUUCCACUUCACUCGCUCCUGUACGUCCGCGACUAGAUCGCUACAUAUCCCAUUCUACCCAGUCCGUACUAGAACUGGUACGGUUUACGCCCAGACUUGGUCCCACUGUCCCGUGAUCAAACUCAGACCCGCAUAUCUCGAUCAAAAUCCAUUCAUCGCUCAGUAUCCAGACGGUCUGCCGAUUGAACACGAACCACCAGUACACGGCGCCGAUCUGCACAGACUAAGCCGACAGACUCUAUUAUGUGGCUUGCGCACGGUCCCACGGUCAGUAUCCGCCGUAUACCUCAGUAACCCGACCCGUUCCAUCAUUCAGUACACGGCUUGCCUUCAACGACUCAGACUACGCCGCACGCACCAUCGCUCUAUAGCCGGACAGUCAGAUUAGGACCCGAUCAGCCCUUCUCCGUGCACUUCAUCCCUCUCGGUGCUUCUCUCUAUUUUUCUCUGUAUAUUCUCUCUCGGAACCGUGUCCAGAAAAGAUGUACCCUUUCUGAUUCCCGAAAAUCAGAUUAAAUCAGUGGUUGGACGGUUUCCACUCCAAAACCGUCAGUCCACAACCGCUCCCGCGCCCCUUCAGUCCGUAACCGUCCUGGACGGUUUUCUCCCUCGGCCAACUGCCUUGUCGGUUUCUCCAUAACUCCCUGCAGUUCCAACUGCUCUAUAACAGCCUUAGCGGUUUAUGUCUCAACCGUCCCAGUCGGUUAGGCGUAUAGGAACUGCUCCUCUAACCGGCCUGGUAAACUGUUCCGAAACUGCUUAGUAACCGUUCCGGUAACCGCCUUGUAACCGCUUCGCUAACUGCUUACUAACCGCUCCAGUAACCACUCAGUAACCGCCUCGGAUAACCGUUCCCAUCAGUUUCCUUAGCUUUCCAGUACACGUUCAGUUCAGUACAUGUUCCCCAACAGAACGUAUAUCCAGUCAGUCCUUACAUAGACUAACUGAUCUCGGAAGACAAGUCCAGCUGCCUUGUCUGAAUCCGUCCAUCUUAGUCCGACAAGCUCAACUGCUAUGUUCGGACAGACAGUAUCGUCUUAACCUGACUAGUACUAUCCCGAUGACAUGUCCAACAUGUCUGUCCCGUCUGAUCAGUCCGACCUUGGACUGAUCCAGUUCAGACUGCAAAACGGGGAUGCUACAAGUCUCCCCCACUUGGAAUGAAUUCGUCCUCGAAUUCAGCAGUUAAUAGAACUUUGUUCUACCCAAUCAGAUCAGUCUCCCCCACUUGGAAUGAAUCCCAACAGAUGACACUCAUGCCUUAACUGUAUUCUCAAACUUUCGGUCACUCGACCAUUACUGUGUUCCAGACUUCCUGAUCACAAUCACAUUUUGAUUUGAUCUCAGAUAUAUAUUAUUCGAUCCGGUCUCUUUGCCAUUUUUUUUUAUUAACAGACUAUGUUCAGUGUACCAACUCACUAAGCAUAGUAGUUCUAACUUCCGAGAAAUCUCUGGGUGUUUGGGCACACACUUUGGUGAGAACAUAACUCCCAACAGUGUUGACUAGUUUACCUCAAUUCUCGAAGUUUAAACUCACUACCUUAGCUAAGUUUUCCAGUGUUUUCUUUAACCAGUCACAGUCAUUCACUAACCUAACCUUAGUCCUUCUAGGACUCAGUCCAAACGAGUCUCUGUCCAUCCUGACUUGACUGUUUGAUUUUCGCACUCCAGUGUUCCUUAGCAUGGCCUAACUCCGAAUACUAGGAACUUAAUCUUUUCAGAAUGCAUGAAUCUUAUCUUGGUCCUAACAGUGGUUUCCUCGGAUCACUCCCUGAUUCUAACCAGUCCCUGACCACUUAUGAUCGACAACUGUUCUUUUCAAAUCUUUACUGAUUUUUAUUGACACCUCCGGAUCAUUUUUGAUCCUUACAGACAUUUCUUACCGGACCCUACACUUGAUCCUUUGCACAGUUUUUCCUUUCGGACUCUCAGUCCUUCCCGGUUCACAUUUCGAAAAUGUAAAUUCAUCUAGUUCCCAUUGACUCAGUCACAGUUAUGUCUUAGAAAACUCAACAGUUCUCAAUAACAUCAGUUCAUUAUACUAAACAGACAGACGUCCUACAGACAUGUGAUGGCAAUCUCUCACUUGUUCCCAUCCAUGAUUUCAUCGCGAUCGAAAACCCACAGUAGUGAACUCCUUGAGUUCCAGUGACAGUACAGUUAUGUCUUGGAAGGUACAUCUCCCACAGACAUCAGAUUGGGUUUCCGCAGACUAUAAUACAGACACGCGAUGGCGAGCUAAUAUGGUUCCCACCGAUGCGAUAACAGUUACGUCUUGGUAACCCUUUGGUUCUCACAGACGUCAAGACAGAACACACGAUGACAGACAGUCACGCCUUGGAAACUCUCGGUUUCCAUAGACGCCAGAACCGACAGUAUCAGUACAGUUAUGCCUUAGCAAACCCACUCGGUUCCUAAGGACAUAUCAUCAACACUAACACUAAUGUUUCAGCAUUCCCACUUGUCUAGUUAAACAGAAACUUAGUCUGGUCUGGCAUUAUCAUUCCAAGUCAUCGAGCAGCCGUCCAGCAAUCCAGCUAAGUCUAAAUGAGCAUCUCAGCCAUAAGAACCUAGACUGAUCUAGACUCUCGCAUGAAAGGAAUCAAUAAUCUAAACUCAGAUGAUCGUCCUAAAUCUUCGAGCCAUCAUCAAAAAUCCAGCAAGCCUUAGCAAGCAUCACAGCCCCUAAGUACAUUGCCUGAUGUAGACGCUCCUGGUAAGAACCGAUCAUUUACUACUUUUUGAAACUCUGACCACAACUCAUCAUCUAUAGCAUCUUGUACCUCCGAGUAGUUUCUUGAUCACUUAACAAGUCUUUGGCGAGUACACCUGACUUCCAAUCUCUUGUUCCGAUGAUCUCAACUCUCGGACCGCACAAUCCUACUAGGAAAAUCAAGCUUAGUCAACCUUAACAAUUCCCUUGUCCAGUUCUUAUAUCCAUACUUACGUACACUCACCACUUUCUAAGUGUAAGUCUUACUCAGAUUUUCCAAAAAUCUUUUUAUGAAACUUCCAGUUUGAUUUUCCCAUACCAGCUUGUCCUUUACCUUGAAAAUCUUAGGAUCCGUCUAAGCAUUCUCAACAUAUGUUCCAUUCGAAUAUAAGUCUCCGUACCUCACAUUCCAGCAUCAGUGCCUUAGCCAUUUGUCCUUAGGCUCUUCCAUGGACGAAUUGUCCAAUUCAGUUUUCCGAUUCUCUGACUCUUUCAGGUUAUCUCUUAGCAAUCCAUCUAUCGCUUAGCCAGUUCAUUGAGAUUCCAUCUCAAUCCUCGGACCACCCGUCCAACUUUGUUUCCGUUCACAACCUUCAGCUCAUCCACUUGGCUAUUCUGCCUUGAACCUUUCCGCUGAAGUCUUCUUUCCAGAUUCAGUUAUGGACAUCAUGUCCAUACUGAGUUAAACUCAUUAACUCCUUGUCUUCCUCGAGCCACUUGAUUCAAUCCUAACUCCAGUCAGCUUCAGAAUACACAUCGUCAAUCUUUCCCGUUUCUUCACUUCAGAAUUCGGAUCCAUUGACUUAAAUAAACCUCUCGGUUGUUUCCAAUACUUAGAAAAUAUUUAUUGGAUAACUCCCUUGAGUUAUCCAGAACACCUUAAGCAAUCGAAUCAGUCUCCAAAAGAUCUUAACUCAGACUUCAUUCCAGCAAUAUGAUCAUUCACCAAUGAUCUUAGCUCCAGCUUCUUUCCAGUUAGACUUCUAACUUACAUUUGCCCAUACAAAGUGUAAGUCCGACUUGAUCACUCCCAAGAUCAAGUCUCUCAUCAGUUCUCCAAUACUCGCCCUUAGCAUUUUCCGCGUCUGUUCGGUCUAGACAAAUCUUGUAUCAUCCUUCAAAAUCUGUCCUAGAACCGUAAUCGCUCUGAUACCACUUGAAAGGCCCUGACCCAGUUUUCCUUACCGCCAGUACGACCCCAGUUCGCUUCCCUCGACCAAAUAAGGUCGAGGCCCGAUUUCUCCCAACACUUAGGAUUUUUAUCUAAUUUUCCUCUAUGAGGUUCAGUUCAGUUCACAGUGUUCGCUAAAUCUAUCCGGCAUCCUAGCAAUUCACUAAGACUGACAGUAUUAUAAACAUGUACCUUACUUCCUUGGUUGUCUACUUGACCAUCCAUACACUCCUGCCUUGCUAUCUUCAUGCUUCCCAUCCUUCUUAUCCAGCCAGCUCGAUCAGAUAUUUAACCGAAUCCCCUUGUUCCUUAGUCACUCAGCCAACCAUCCCCACGUGACAAGUAAACAGACGAAACGGCUUGGUCUCCGACCAGCCAUCCAGUACAGAUAGUACGCCAGUCUUGCUAGUGUUCCAGAACCAGUCACUGAUCAAGCCUAGAUCAGUCCGUCCAAACUCAGCCUUACCGGCCUUUAUCUAGUCAGUAACCAUACGCAUCAGCAAACUCGUGCCCCAUGCCAGACGAUCCUCAUCAGUACGUUACCACAUCGUUCCUCCAGUCCUUUGUUCCACUUCACUCGCUCCUGUACGUCCGCGACUAGAUCGCUACAUAUCCCAUUCUACCCAGUCCGUACUAGAACUGGUACGGUUUACGCCCAGACUUGGUCCCACUGUCCCGUGAUCAAACUCAGACCCGCAUAUCUCGAUCAAAAUCCAUUCAUCGCUCAGUAUCCAGACGGUCUGCCGAUUGAACACGAACCACCAGUACACGGCGCCGAUCUGCACAGACUAAGCCGACAGACUCUAUUAUGUGGCUUGCGCACGGUCCCACGGUCAGUAUCCGCCGUAUACCUCAGUAACCCGACCCGUUCCAUCAUUCAGUACACGGCUUGCCUUCAACGACUCAGACUACGCCGCACGCACCAUCGCUCUAUAGCCGGACAGUCAGAUUAGGACCCGAUCAGCCCUUCUCCGUGCACUUCAUCCCUCUCGGUGCUUCUCUCUAUUUUUCUCUGUAUAUUCUCUCUCGGAACCGUGUCCAGAAAAGAUGUACCCUUUCUGAUUCCCGAAAAUCAGAUUAAAUCAGUGGUUGGACGGUUUCCACUCCAAAACCGUCAGUCCACAACCGCUCCCGCGCCCCUUCAGUCCGUAACCGUCCUGGACGGUUUUCUCCCUCGGCCAACUGCCUUGUCGGUUUCUCCAUAACUCCCUGCAGUUCCAACUGCUCUAUAACAGCCUUAGCGGUUUAUGUCUCAACCGUCCCAGUCGGUUAGGCGUAUAGGAACUGCUCCUCUAACCGGCCUGGUAAACUGUUCCGAAACUGCUUAGUAACCGUUCCGGUAACCGCCUUGUAACCGCUUCGCUAACUGCUUACUAACCGCUCCAGUAACCACUCAGUAACCGCCUCGGAUAACCGUUCCCAUCAGUUUCCUUAGCUUUCCAGUACACGUUCAGUUCAGUACAUGUUCCCCAACAGAACGUAUAUCCAGUCAGUCCUUACAUAGACUAACUGAUCUCGGAAGACAAGUCCAGCUGCCUUGUCUGAAUCCGUCCAUCUUAGUCCGACAAGCUCAACUGCUAUGUUUGGACAGACAGUAUCGUCUUAACCUGACUAGUACUAUCCCGAUGACAUGUCCAACAUGUCUGUCCCGUCUGAUCAGUCCGACCUUGGACUGAUCCAGUUCAGACUGCAAAACGGGGAUGCUACAUUAUGCCCCUUGAUCUCUGUAAAAUCCAAAUAGUUUUGUCAGAGAUUAUUUAUAAUUGCUCUAAAACUCUGACCACCACAAGAAUAAUGACAUGUACGACCAUGUACAAUGGUUUUCAGAUUCAACACCCUCCACUUUAUCUUUUAACACUUCACCUCAUCUUCUCUUUCUUCUAUGUAAUCAUUCAACACACAUUCAACACACAUCCUAUUUACUAAUUAAUAAUUACUUUUAUAUAUCCAAAUUAAAUAAAUCUAAUUUCUAUUUAUAGAAAAAAUUAAAUGAUAAAUUAUCGUAUAAAAUAUAAAAAUAAAGUAUUUAAUUUAUAAUGUGAAUAUUGGUUUUAAAUAAGGGUCUGAUUGGUAAUGGCUGUAGCUUUAAAAAUUUUGUUGUAGAAAAAAAUCUGUAGAUUUUUUGCUGUGGCUUUAGAAUUUAUUGCUGUAGAAUUUUAUUGAAAGCACUAAAAAAUUGCUUUGGAUAUUUGGCUCUGCAGAGCACUUGUACAGCUGUAGGUUAUUUUAAGAGCUGUGGUUUUAAAAAAUAAUUUAAAGCUUGAUUGCUCUGAAUUUGGUGCUGUAGAAAUAAAUAGGGCUGUGGACAUCACCUACAGCAACUACCAAUCACCCCCUAAGUAAGAGAAAAUCAAAAAAUCAAAAAUUUUCAAAAAAGUGACAUGUGUCAUCGGUGGAUUCACUUUCUUCUUAUUCAACAUGUUGAAUAUUUUCAACACCCACAUAAUUUACAUCAUCAAAUUUUAUUUUUCUAACACCUUCGUUAUAGUGAUUCAACAGUCUUUUAUUCUAAGCCAACUUAGAUACAUGAAUUUCAUCGUUCUAUCGAUAAGAUAGUAUCAUAAGCCAACUUUUUUUUAUAAUACUUUUUCUCUUGGGUUUUAACAACAGUCAGUCAGUCACAAAGUUUUAUAAUGUUAAAACGUCUGCUAGAUUUAUACCGAUGACUAUUGACUGCAAUUCGAAGUUGACCACUAAACCCCCACAAAUAAUAGUCUUUAACUUAUGGACUAUCUAUACGAUUACGAAAUAACACGUAUAAAUGUUUCGUUUAGAUUGCCCUACACAUCACUAAUAAUAAAAAAUUAUACACUAUUGUCAUUAUUCCUGUGGUGGUCAGAGUUUUAGUCAAUUGUUUUAUGCCAUAUGAGAGGCGUACGACAAAUCAAAUCAUACGAGUUAGAUUAAAUCACGAGGGGAUAUAUGUCAGAUUCAUGAACUUCGUCUAUUUCGUUUUUCUCAUUAUUCAUAAUUUUUUUUAGUUUAAAUAAACAGUAAACGACGAGUUUAGAUCCGCGUAGGGCUUAUAUUCCAACUCAGAUUGCUUACCAGUCCAAAGUUCCUAUGUCACUAGACUAUCAAAUGUUUUUUUCGUUAUUCAUUUACAUCACGAUUCGGCAUAUUUACAAAGUUAACAUAUCUUUCAAUAUCCAUAAAACACGAAGGAUAUACUAAAAAGAGAAUUUCCUUUUCUCUUGUAACCAAGGGAAUUUAUUUUUGAGCUUAUUUGCAUACUAACCAAUCUAGCAGUAGAAAUUAAGUAAUUGUCAUUAACUUUGAUGCAAUGUAUAAUCUAACUUUUAUGCCAAAAAUCAUAUGAUUUUACAUAUUGCUUUUGUAAUUACUUGGUAACCAUAUGCAGGAAGAACUGACGUGCCCAUAGAACAUAUGGUGUGGAAACUCAAAACUAUUCCAUAUGAACAAAGAAGAGUCAGCCACGUCAACAUGAUAUUUACCUCAUUUAUAUUUAUUAUAGGCAGUGAGAUGAGUUAUUUAAAAUAUAAAAAUGUUACAAUAAACGGUUUAUUUUAUUAAACAACAUAUUUAUGCACCGUUGUAUUCCAUAUCACUGAAGUACUAUAAGAUUAUAAUCUCAUCCACAAACCCUAAAUACUAAACAUUACUCCAAUCCUAAACGCUAACCCCAUAUAAUAUUUUAUAAUAUUAAACUACACUAUAUACAAAUGGAAAAUAUAAUAGACUUGUGAAUUAAAAUUAUUUGUUUGGGUGUGGUUAACAAAAUGAUAAAAUUGAGUUUAUAAAUCACUUCUACCGGUGUGCUGUGGUUAACGUAUAAACCAAUAUUAUAUUAAUGAUACAACUUCAGAACAUAAUACAUGUUUUAUUUACGGUAAAAUCAAAUUUCUAUUAUACAUUAGUCAAAUAGAAUAGAACAAAAAAUAUUACAUUGGAACUUUUAAAGAAGGUGAAGAGACUAUGGGUGGUGAAGUGAAAGAGGAGAGGACACGUUGCAGCGAUGAAACAAUUAUGGUAGUGCUAAUGUUACAGGUGGAGUGACAAGAAACAUAACACAUAUCAUGCUACAUAUCUAUUUUAUAUGUAUAAUAGAGAAAAAUAAUAAUCGGUCAUCUUCUCUGAUCUUUUAUCACAUACACAAAUAACCAAUACAAAAUAAUAGAAUAUAACAUCUAUAAAUAGUAUAGUCUCUUUCUGAUUCACGGUAUUCGACACCCUUGUGGCCAGAGUUGAUUUUCAAUAAUGUAUCCAUGCAACAUUUCCAAAUGCUCGUUAUCAAACGGCGGCCGUGGUUAUGUCAAUGUUACAUGGUAGUGGUGGUGAUGUCAAUGAAAUAACUGGUGGUGGUGGUGAUGAUGGUGGUGAUGUCCAUGUUAAAUGUGGAAUAAUAACAAACACAGUAUAUAUAACGUUUCAUUUCAAUUUUUUCUAAACUUUUGGAAGACAUACAAGUAAAAAAAAUAUAUUGGAGACAAAAAUUAUAAAACAGCGCACAUACAUAGGAGACGGAUUGAAAACAUAAAAUGUUACAUAAUUUUUUCUAGGCCUAGGCAAAAUAACCGGAACCGAAGAACCGAACCGGAACCGAACCGAAAUACCCGAAACCGGAACCGGACCAAUAUCCUCAAAUACCCGAACGGUUGCUAUAUUUUUAUAUCCGAAAUAACCGAACCGAAUCGGAACCGAACUGAAAACCGAACGGAUACCUGAAUAUAUAAAAAUAUUAAUUAUAUAUAAAUAUAACAUAACUAAAUAUAUUUUUUUAAUUUAAAAUUCUAUUAAAAGUAUCUGAAAAUAGUUGAGGAUAACUAAAUUAUUAUAAAAUAUCUGAACUACCCGAAAGUAUCCGAAACUAUCAGGAUAGUUUUAUCCGAAAUAUCUGAAAUUUUUAUCUAAAUCAUCCUAAUUAUUUGAUAUUUUACUCUAAAUAACCGAUAUUUUAUCCAAAUUAUCCGAAUUACCCGAACUAUCCGAACCGGAUCCAAAUGAGAACCGAACUUUUUUGGAUAUUUUCCGGUUCCUACAUUUACUAUCCGAACCGAAACUAUCUGAACCGAAAAUAGGUCAAGUACUAAAUGGAUACUUUAGUCCCUAUCCGAACUACCCGAAACCCGAAACUCGAAAUACCCAAACCGAACCGAUACCCGAAAUGCCCAUGCCUAGUUUUUCAUUGGCACUAUUAAAACAUGAUCCAAACCUAAAACCAAUAAACCAGACAUCCAAACUUCCUAUUUGUCAUUCAAUAUCCAACAUUUUCUAGCUAAUCAACAUUAUUUUGCGCUUCUUUUGUACAGAGCAAAGAUCGUAUAAAGAACCGAAAGACAAACGAUCAAAAGGAGAGUGGGACACGAUCAAAAGGAGAGUGGGAUCCUAUGAGAUCUUGGGAACACCAACCAGUCACGAUUAAAAUUUGUAUUAUAUGUAUGAUAUGAUGGACAUAGAGAGAGACUUCCAUAUAUAACCAAUUAGGCGAUUUCCACCCAUUUCUACUUUCAUUUCUAUAUUUUUCAUUAAAAUAUAAAAAAAUAUUAUAAAGAUGAAUUUAUUCUAAUGUAUCUUUCUAAAAAUAGAAAAUUUUAGACUAUUUUAAUCAUCUCUAUAUUUAUCUUUACUUCUUUAAUAGAAAAAUUCUAUUAUAAAAUUAAAUUAUUUUCAAUGUGUUACUUUAUUUUUUUCACUACGUUGUUCGGCCAGAUCUGAUGUCCCUUUAAAAUAAAAUGAUUCUAAGUAAGUUAAAUUUCAAUUUUACUUUAUUUAAAUUAGAAAAUAGAGUAAUGUAUAAAUAAAUAAAUGAAUUACUAAUUUUUAAAGUAAUUUUAUUUAUUACUCUAUUAUAAAGUGAAAUUGAUUUUUUAUUCUAAACUUCAUUUUAGAGUGAAAGGUGAAAUGAGAACAAAAGUGCAAUUAUUGUCCAAAAUUACUAGUAUAUCGGGUAGCGAUAAAACUUACGGAAAGAUUAACAAUUUUGUAACGCUUCCGACUGUCCAUGACUAAUGGACUUCCCAUGCCCGCUUACUCGGUUUGUGGAUCCCAUUCUAUGUGGAUUCUAUGUGCUUUGACUUUAUUUGCACGGUAUCGCAAAUCACUUCAUAAUAUGUCACUCAUGAUUCUACUAAUCCAGCUCAAGCACACUUAACUUUAAAUUUUUUUAUGGAUAUGUGUUAAAAAAUGUAAGUACACUUUGAUGACAUAGGUAGAUAAAUUAAUUCUAUUAAGCAUUUCAAAAAUACCAAAACUCGAAUGUUACAACUCACCCUCUCUCAAAGAACGCAACAUAUUCAUGGCUAAUGGGCCUCCCAUGCUACAAAGAAUGUUACAAGAUUGUUAUCCUUGUUAAUGUGAACCCAAACAUGAUUCAACACUCGUCUGGAUUGGGAUUUAAUACCACUUGUGACGCCAUGGCCGCCCAUGGCUAAUGGACCUCCCACGCUCGCUCACUCGGCAUGUGGACUAGAUUUCGUGUGACGGACGGUGCAUUAAUUUUUUGUAGAGCUCAAACGUCUUGUUUUACUGACCAUGCAAUCACCACAUGAUUUUUCCCGUACUUUACACUUAGUCACACGAUAUUGUGAAUCACUUUUCGAUAGGUCAUGCAUCCUUUCACUACUCCAACUCAUGAAUACUUAAUUUUAAAGUUAUUUUUGAAUGUGUGAUCGAAAUGGUAAGUACACUUUGAUGACACUUGUAACCUAAUAAAUUUUAUUAAACCUUUCAGAUAUACUACAAAUCGGAAUGUUACAAAAAAUUAAAACUCAUUUUACAAGAAAAAAUUAUAUAGGUAGUCUUCUAACUUUUCGUACUUCAAAUUACCAUUUAUUAAGAAAUAUGAGUUUUAGUAAAUAAAGAAAAAAGAAAUAUACCUUAUGGAAAUGAGAGAGAGAUUUCUUAUGUUUGACAAAAGCCUAACCAACCAUUUUUUUAAUAACGAAAGGUCAUUCUAUUACCCAAACUUGAGGUAGUCCGGGCAACCAGACCAUAAUAAAACAACCAACAACGUGAAGCUCUCUAUGGAAAGAUCUUGCCAUCCUAGCUAAAGAGUCAGAAAUCUGAUUUUGUGCUCAUAGAAUGUGAGUAAUCUUGAAGUCUGGGAAACAUAACUGCAAAGUCUCUAUCCUCUCCAGUUUUGUUGCAAAACUUGGCCAAUCUUGUGGCUCCUUAAGUAUGGUGAUCAAGUCUUUGCAGUCUGUUCCAAAGCUCUGACAUGUCGAAUAUUUCAUCAUGCUCUCCAUCGCCCAUCUCAAUACUUCUACUUCUGAGUGAAGAGGAGACUCUCUUCGACUAUAAUUUUGUGUCCCCAUGAGUUGAACCUUCCCCAAGUUAUCCAUCCACGCCCAUCCACACCCGCUGAACUGUGAAGUAGAUGUCCAUGACCCGUCUAUCAUGCAGAUAUUACUCAAGCUUAAGACUUGAGGUUCAUCACUACUAUGGUCUUGUGGAGUUGGUUGCCUCAUCUCAUUUGCAUUGAACCAGGCCUAACCAACCUGUAAAUGUUUAUCUUUAUGAUCUUAUUUCUCCACUUUAUAUUAUUUCCUAUAGUAUAUAUAGAUAUAUUAAAUUGAAUAUAUACUUUCAUACAUAAUUGGUUGGUACCAUAGCCAAACCAACCAAUAAAAUUUUACUUAAUUGUUUUAUCUUAAUUCAAUAUGUAAUGAAAGUACACUAGAAUUUAAUGAUAAGUUAUUUUACGACGUUUAUUGACUGAUCAAAGGAUCGACCGAGCUUCCAGACUCAAUCAAAACUUGAGUGCCUCGCAGGUGCUGAUUGUGAGUUUCAGAGGCGUGCCUACAGUGUAUUGAAAAAGGCAUUUGCCUCAGACCCCCGAUUAAUAUGACUAUUUUUAGGGUUCUAAAAUUUAAAAUAAUUUAUAGUCUAGUGGUUUAAACUUAUUUAAGAAAAAAACAUUUCUACGAAAAUUAAUUAACUCAUUUUCUGAAUUCAUGUAUUUUUUUCUAUAUAAUAUAUUCUUGUUAUAAACUUAUUUUUUUACAGUAUUAGACUUGUGUAUUUGGUGAAAAUAAUAUAUCAUAUUAAAAAAUUAUUUUUAUUACAGUUGUAAAGAAGUUUAUUUUUAGAACUUGCCUUAGGUCCCUAAAACUCUUCUCACGGCACUGGUUCCACCAUUAGAGGAUUGUUAUGCGUCGUAUCGAUGUCGGUGGUGUACACUUCGGAGAAUGCGGCUGGAAGCAAUCCUCUGGAUUGGUAGAGUACUUUUUUUGUUGUUGUUGUUUCCUUUCCUGGUACUCCUUUACCAACCUCACUGAUUCUUUGCAUAUGAUCCUUCAAAGAUCAAAUUUAUACGGCGAGGAUUUUUGGACUGCUCUUUCUUGCUUCAUUUGCCUUGACUGAUUUUCUCUCUCAAAUCCUCAAGUUUUGAGUGGUUAAGCUAUUCCCUCAAAUAUGUGGUCUCAGAGGUGUAUUGACCAUUUGUGCUAAUGUUUAAUGUUUUGGCGAAGAUCGCUUGUGCCGAGAUUAGUAAGAGAAUUAUUCUGAUCAUUCAUGCCUAGUUUUUGGCGACUAUCAAAAUUUUCAGGUUGGCUGACUGAUGCGUCCCAGUUGUUCGUGUUGAGUUUUAUGAGAACCUCGGUAGUGUUAGCCGACUGAACUGGGUGAUAGUGAUUGUUGUUCACAAAACUGGCUCUGUCUUUGCCAAUUUUCUUUUGAGUUUAUCAUGCAGAUUUUGGGUGCAUGAACUCUCUUCUGAUGACGAGGAUGAUGAUUACAUUGAUACGCCGAGUGAUCUGUGAUCUUUAUUCAUCCAAAGCCGGGUCAUCACGCCGAGGUGGAGCGGAUACAUCUUGAUCUUUGGGUUGAUCCACUUGGGAUGGCCUUGGGACUUAUUGCAAUUUUUAUAUCUGCUUUUUCAAGCUUUUCUUAUUUUUGACAAGCUUUUGUUACGGUUGGGCGUUAAUAUUUCUUUGUUGAACGCCGUCAUGAGUGUAUCAUGGAGUAACCUUGAUUGUUUGGUAUCA